CACACACGCACACACACACACACACACACACACACACGCACACACGCACACACGCACACACGCACACAGACAGACAGCUCACCGCCACUGAAAGUGUAAGCCCAGGUAACCUCAGCCAACGCCUAAGAGUAGGUGAAUCUGAGGUGAAGCUGAGGUAAAGCUGGAUGAUGACAUCUUCCUAUUCUUCCAGGUACCCUCUGGCUGGCAUGGAGAGAAAAAGGUCAGAGGAAGCAUCACUACAUAACACUAUGCUAGUAACACCAAUGCUAACGCACAAAUUCAAUGUUUUCAUUAGGUCAAUGCAAUGCCUCAACAAAAUGCCACCCAUUAAAGGUACAGAAUGUAUGCCACCCAUUAAAGGUACAGAAUGUAUGACACCCAUUAAAGGUACAGAGUGUAUGCCCCCCAUUAAAGGUAGAUCAUUUAUGCCACCCAUUAAAGGUACAGAGUGUAGGCCCCCCAUUAAAGGUAGAUCAUUUAUGCCACCUAUUAAAGGUACAGAGUGUAUGCCACCCAUUAAAGGUACAGAAUGUAUGCCACCCAUUAAAGGUACAGAGUGUAUGCCACCCAUUAAAGGUGCAGAGUGUAUGCCCCCCAUUAAAGGUAGAUAAUUUAUGCCACCCAUUAAAGGUACAGAAUGUAUGCCACCCAUUAAAGGUACAGAAUGUAUGCCCCUCAUUAAAGGUGCAGAGUGUAUGCCACCCAUUAAAGGUAGAUCAUUUAUGCCACCCUUAAAGGUACAGAAUGUAUGCCCCCCCAUUAAAGGUACAGAAUGUAUGCCCCCCAUUAAAGGUACAGAAUGUAUGCCCCCCAUUAAAGGUAGAUCAUUUAUGCCACCCAUUAAAGGUAUGCUACAGAGUGUAGUGUAAUGCCUCUGAGUAAAGAUGUGGGGGAAUCCUAUGGUUAAACACUGAGUUCGCCUCCAGAUUAAGCAUUAGAGUCAGCAUUGGCCGGCAUCCCUGUGAAACGCUUUCGACACCUUGAAGAGUCCAUGCCCCAACGAAUUGAGGCUGUUUCAAUGGCAAAAGUGGGGGGUGUUCUUAAUGUUUUGUACAUUCACUGUAUGUCUGGAUUGGAGAGCAGGCAUGGCAUAUUGUCCUAAUAACAAAAUACAUUUUGCCAAAUGCAAGAGAUAGGUGCUGGGGUGUAAUUACAGAGUAAUACAAAAUGUUCUUUACAGACUGGAACUUAAUAAUGUCAACCAUUUUAGUUAGCCUACAGAACAUAAUCCCUCUGAGUACUGAUGGGCACAAUCCUACAGAUGGUUAUACAGUAUUCCCAGAGGGGUGUGGGGUAAUCCUACAGAUGGUUAUACAGUAUGCCCAGAGGGGUGUGGGGUAAUCCUACAGAUGGUUAUACAGUAUGCCCAGAGGGGUGUGGGGUAAUCCUACAGAUGGUUAUACAGUAUUCCCAGAGGGGUGUGGGGUAAUCCUACAGAUGGUUAUACAGUAUUCCCAGAGGGGUGUGGGGUAAUCCUACAGAUGGUUAUACAGUAUGCCCAGAGGGGUGUGGGGUAAUCCUACAGAUGGUUAUACAGUAUGCCCAGAGGGGUGUGGGGUAAUCCUACAGAUGGUUAUACAGUAUGCCCAGAGGGGUGUGGGGUAAUCCUACAGAUGGUUAUACAGUAUGCCUAGAGGGGUGUGGGGUAAUCCUACAGAUGGUUAUACAGUAUGCCCAGAGACUAGAACUGCAC
rnacentral:lncRNA from 1 species